rnacentral:lncRNA from 1 species
CAGAUAUUCACACAUUUGAGGGCUAAAUGCUAGCAGCCACACACAGAAAAUCAUCUGGUACUGAAGCUGGAAGCCGCAUUUGUUGCUCAAGACACCCAUGAUACAGUUUACCCCAUCUGCUUCUACCCAGGCAAAGCGAUAUUCAUUGACUCUAAGCAUCAGCUGCAGGCAUCCAGCAACACACUGUACGUACUGGGAACUAUCACUUGUGGAGACUGCUCCUGCUUCCACAGAACCCCCUGUACCACGUAGCUUCUGUGAACUGAGCUGAGUUUUAAUCCAGUUGAAAUAGUAAUUCAAGUCACUGCCUUCCAUAAGUUCUCUCCCCCAGGCAGCCAGUUUGGC